UCGACGGAGAUGUUGCAGCAGAAGCGAAUAGCUUGCUAUGAGUGGAAACAGUGGCAUCUUAGUGGCGGACGGGUGAGUAACGCGUGGGCAACCUGCCCUGCACUGGGGGAUAACACUUAGAAAUAGGUGCUAAUACCGCAUAAUAAAAUAUAUUGCAUGAUAUAUUUUUGAAAGCUGCGGCGGUGCAGGAUGGGCCCGCGUCUGAAUAGCCAGUUGGCGGGGUAACGGCCCACCAAAGCGACGAUCAGUAGCCGGCCUGAGAGGGUGGACGGCCACAUUGGGACUGAGACACGGCCCAAACUCCUACGGGAGGCAGCAGUGGGGGAUAUUGGACAAUGGGGGGAACCCUGAUCCAGCGACGCCGCGUGAGUGAAGAAGUAUUUCGGUAUGUAAAGCUCUAUCAGCAGGGAAGAAAAGAAUGACGGUACCUGAAUAAGAAGCCCCGGCUAACUACGUGCCAGCAGCCGCGGUAAUACGUAGGGGGCAAGCGUUAUCCGGAUUUACUGGGUGUAAAGGGAGCGCAGACGGCAAUGCAAGCCUGGAGUGAAAGGCGGGGGCCCAACCCCCGGACUGCUCUGGGAACUGUAUAGCUAGAGUGCAGGAGAGGCAAGUGGAAUUCCUAGUGUAGCGGUGAAAUGCGUAGAUAUUAGGAGGAACACCAGUGGCGAAGGCGGCUUGCUGGACUGUAACUGACGUUGAGGCUCGAAAGCGUGGGGAGCAAACAGGAUUAGAUACCCUGGUAGUCCACGCCGUAAACGAUGAUUACUAGGUGUCGGAGGGCAUGGGCCCGUCGGUGCCGGAGCAAACGCAUUAAGUAAUC
rnacentral:rRNA from 1 species